UACGUAGGUGGCAAGCGUUGUCCGGAUUUACUGGGCGUAAAGAGCGCGCAGGCGGUCGUUCAAGUCGCGUGUGAAAGCCCCGGCUCAACUGGGGAGGGUCACGCGAUACUGAUCGACUCGAAGGCAGGAGAGGGUAGUGGAAUUCCCGGUGUAGUGGUGAAAUGCGUAGAUAUCGGGAGGAACACCAGUGGCGAAGGCGACUGACCUGCCUGUUCUGACGCUGAGGCGCGAAAGCUA
rnacentral:rRNA from 1 species